rnacentral:rRNA from 1 species
UACAGAGGGUGCAAGCGUUGUUCGGAAUUAUUGGGCGUAAAGCGCGUGUAGGCGGCUUUGCAAGUCGGGUGUGAAAGCCCUCAGCUUAACUGAGGAAGUGCGCCCGAAACUGCUUGGCUUGAGUACCGGAGAGGAUGGCGGAAUUCCCCAAGUAGAGGUGAAAUUCGUAGAUAUGGGGGAGGAACACCGGUGGCGAAGGCGGCCAUCUGGACGGAUACUGACGCUGAGACGCGAAAGCGUGGGUAGCAAACAGG